rnacentral:tRNA from 3 species
CGGGACGUGGUGUAACGGUAACAUUCACGAUUCGGGUUCGUGAGACUCCGGGUUCGAAUCCCGGCGUCCCGA